rnacentral:rRNA from 1 species
UAAGUGAAGCCGCGAAUAGCUCAUUACAAUAGCCGUUGUUUCUUGGAUCCUCAAUUUACUUGGAUACCUGUGGUAAUUCUAGAGCUAAUACAUGCGACUAAGGGCCGAACUCACGUGACGCUUGCAUUUAUUAGAUCAAGACUAACCGGCUUCGGCCGUUAACUUGGUGACUCUGAAUAACUCAGCUGAUCGCACGGUCUAGUGCCGGCGACAUAUCUUUCAAGUGUCUACCUUAUCAACUGUCGAUGGUAGUUUAUGUGACUACCAUGGUUGUAACGGGUAACGGAGAAUCAGGGUUUGACUCCGGAGAGGGAGCCUGAGAAACGGCUACCACUUCUAAGGAAGGCAGCAGGCGCGCAAAUUACACAAUCUCAGCACGAGGAUGUAGUGACGAAACAUACCGAGGCGAUGCCCUUUCGGGUGUCGUCAUUGGAAUGAGUCGAAUCUAAAAAAUUCGGCAAGGAUCUAGUGGAGGGCAAGUCUGGUGCCAGCAGCCGCGGUAAUUCCAGCUCCGCAAGUGUAUAUCUAUGCUGUUGCGGUUAAAAAGCUCGUAGUUUGAUUCGCGUACUUAGCACGCAGUGUGGCCUUUCGGCUACUACUGUGAUGCGGUACAUUAUCGUCAGUUUGUCGUUGAUGCUCUUCAUUGGGUGUCAGCGGCGGCUGUCAAGUUUACUUUGAACAAAUUAAAGUGCUCAAUACAGGCGUUUCGCUUGUAUAGUUCUGCAUGGAAUAAUAGAAUAGGACUUACGUUCUAUUGUGUUGGUUUUCAGAACGAAAGUAAUGAUUAAGAGGGACAGACGGGGUCAUUCGUACUGCCACGUUAGAGGUGAAAUUCUUGGAUCGUGGCAAGACGAACUACUGCGAAAGCAUUGACAAGAA